GCUGCUAAGUAGGAGAUGAAGACGACCAUGAUGUUACAGGCCUGCUAUCCCUGGAAACCACCUUUGGUGACUGGGUAUCUCGAAUGACUCGGGCUUCUUGGAAAGGCCUCGUUGGGUAGCCGCCGGGAUGGUCUCCUGUCUACCUUACUUCCACGGCAACCUGGAAUAAGCCAGUAUUUAUGGAGAUGAUACAAGUGGGUCUCUAUUCCUUGAAGUCCAAAGGAAUCUAGCUAAUACAACGAGUCUGUCUGCAGGUCAGGGAGGAAGGUGAUAGCCCGCAAGUGAGCCUCACAUUUCCAUAGCAGGAGACCUCCUCCAGAGGUUCCCCUCUCUCAUUCUGCGGUAAAUCUGAGAUGCCAAGAAGGAUCCCACCGCUCCACUGAGAAGACACUGAAGCCACUAACUAGUCAUACAAAGACAUCAUCUACAACACAGGGAAGACAGACAGGUCUAGCUUUAAUUCUUUUUUACAAAGGCAAGUCAUUCACUUUGGAAAUAGAAAGUAGAAACAUCUUUGGCUCUGCGUCUUGGACAAUGUUGAACUAUGAUCAAUAUUUAGGAAGUGUUUUCAGCCACACAUAUAAUGGCCACAGAGUGAAAGGAACAAACAGGACUCGUAUUUUGUUGUCAAGUGUGUGUGUCAUCAGCAUGCACUGGAGGGCGGGGGUCCUCAAUAAACACCACCAACUCUGGUAGCUGGGCAGGCUGUAACAAAGCACCAUGUUCUGGCAUGGACCCCAACGGCCACCUGAGGGAAGAGGGCCUUCACAGCUGACUGUGCAUCUGUGCCAAGGGAAGGCGGUUGGAAUGAAGAACGGCGUCCGUUUUCCGCUCCUCCAGAUGUCCACCUGUGUGAGAUCUGAACAAAGAAAGCUGAACUGGAGAACAUCAGCCUUCACGAUCCAGCUCCCCUGCCGGAGCCUCUGCCAACAUCCCUAGCAUCCGAGAGCCUGAAGAACUUCACCGAUUUGCAUCACUCCAGAACCUGUGGGGCCAGAUCCCAAAUAAAUGAGAAGGGAUCCCGUACCAAGACUGCUUGCAUGGCAACACACAAAUGCGCCUCUUGAGAAGGAGCAGGAACAAAAAUUAAGAUCCCAUUUGACCUAAGCGUAGUUAACUAUUCACUCUGUAUCCGGCUAGAAGAUAAUGGAGCAAACAAGAAUUGCUGAGUCCCAAGGCACAGCAGACGUGGGAGGCAGGGGGCAAGAAAGGGUGUGGCAGAAAGCCUUUUGGUUCCGGGGAUGGAGCGGGGAAUCUAAGAGCAGGCAGCAGCAGAGGAAAUGGUUUCCAGGAGAAAGGACGAGGUCUGGGAUCACGGCGUCUUCUCCAGCUAUAGGUCACCUCCAGCUCCUGCUGGUCAACACACAGACCAUUCCUCAGUCUCUGAGGGUCUUUGCUUUCUCCUCAAAUGUCUUCUCAAAUCCAGAAGUUUCCUUAGUCUCCAAAAUAAGAAUUCUCAAUCAGAUCCAG
rnacentral:lncRNA from 1 species